rnacentral:rRNA from 1 species
AUUUAUCGGUAAAAGAUGGCUAUGCGUCCUAUUAGUUAGUUGGUAAGGUAACGGCUUACCAAGACAUCGAUAGGUAGGGGUCCUGAGAGGGAGAUCCCCCACACUGGUACUGAGACACGGACCAGACUCCUACGGGAGGCAGCAGUGAGGAAUAUUGGGCAAUGGAGGAGACUCUGACCCAGCCAUGCCGCGUGUAGGAAGAAUGCCCUAUGGGUUGUAAACUACUUUUAUACAGGAAGAAACACUGGUAUGUAUACCAGCUUGACGGUACUGUAAGAAUAAGGACCGGCUAACUCCGUGCCAGCAGCCGCGGUAAUACGGAGGGUCCAAGCGUUAUCCGGAAUCAUUGGGUUUAAAGGGUCCGCAGGCGGUCAAUUAAGUCAGAGGUGAAAUCCCGUCGCUCAACGACGGAACUGCCUUUGAUACUGGUUGACUUGAGUCAUAUGGAAGUAGAUAGAAUGUGUAGUGUAGCGGUGAAAUGCAUAGAGAUUACACAGAAUACCGAUUGCGAAGGCAGUCUACUACGUAUGUACUGACGCUGAGGGACGAAAGCGUGGGGAGCGAACAGGAUUAGAUACCCUGGUAGUCCACGCCGUAAACGAUGGAUACUAGUUGUUGGGCAAUAGCUCAGUGACUAAGCGAAAGUGAUAAG